rnacentral:rRNA from 1 species
GAUGAACGCUGGCGGCGUGCCUAAUACAUGCAAGUCGAGCGAACGGACGAGAAGCUUGCUUCUCUGAUGUUAGCGGCGGACGGGUGAGUAACACGUGGAUAACCUACCUAUAAGACUGGGAUAACUUCGGGAAACCGGAGCUAAUACCGGAUAAUAUUUUGAACCGCAUGGUUCAAAAGUGAAAGACGGUCUUGCUGUCACUUAUAGAUGGAUCCGCGCUGCAUUAGCUAGUUGGUAAGGUAACGGCUUACCAAGGCAACGAUGCAUAGCCGACCUGAGAGGGCGAUCAGCCACACUGGAACUGAGACACGGUCCAGACUCCUACGGGAGGCAGCAGUAGGGAAUCUUCCGCAAUGGGCGAAAGCCUGACGGAGCAACGCCGCGUGAGUGAUGAAGGUCUUCGGAUCGUAAAACUCUGUUAUUAGGGAAGAACAUAUGUGUAAGUAACUGUGCACAUCUUGACGGUACCUAAUCAGAAAGCCACGGCUAACUACGUG